GUCUAGGUAGUAUAGUGGUUAGUAUGCUCGCUUGUGGCAUCAUCAGGUCUUCCUGGUGUAAUACAGUCCGCGAUUGACGUCAGUUCGAUUCUGGCCCUGGACA